UACGAAGGGGACUAGCGUUGUUCGGAAUCACUGGGCGUAAAGCGCACGUAGGCGGAUAUGUCAGUCAGGGGUGAAAUCCCGGGGCUUAACCUCGGAACUGCCUUUGAUACAGCAUAUCUUGAGUCCGAUAGAGGUGGGUGGAAUUCCUAGUGUAGAGGUGAAAUUCGUAGAUAUUAGGAAGAACACCGGUGGCGAAGGCGGCCCACUGGAUCGGUACUGACGCUGAGGUGCGAAAGCGUGGGGAGCGAACAGG
rnacentral:rRNA from 1 species